UACGAAGGGGACUAGCGUUGUUCGGAUUUACUGGGCGUAAAGCGCGCGUAGGCGGAUCGCUAAGUCAGGGGUGAAAUCCCAGGGCUCAACCCCUGGAACUGCCUUUGAUUAACUGACGGUCUGGAGAUCGGGAGAGGUUGGUGGAAUUCCGAGUGUAGAGGUGAAAUUCGUAGAUAUUCGGAGGAACACCAGAAGCGAAGGCGGCCAACUGGCCCG
rnacentral:rRNA from 1 species